UACGUAGGGGGCGAGCGUUGUCCGGAAUCAUUGGGCGUAAAGCGCGUGUAGGCGGCCCGGUAAGUCCGCUGUGAAAGUCCAGGGCUCAACCCUGGGAUGCCGGUGGAUACUGUCGGGCUCGAGUCCGGAAGAGGCGAGUGGAAUUCCUGGUGUAGCGGUGAAAUGCGCAGAUAUCAGGAGGAACACCGGUGGCGAAGGCGGGUCUCGUGGGCCGUAACUGACGCUGAGGAGCGAAAGCGUGGGGAGCGAACAGGAUUAGA
rnacentral:rRNA from 1 species